rnacentral:rRNA from 1 species
GUAGGUGGCAAGCGUUGUCCGGAAUUAUUGGGCGUAAAGCGCGCGCAGGCGGUUCUUUAAGUCUGAUGUGAAAGCCCACGGCUCAACCGUGGAGGGUCAUUGGAAACUGGAGAACUUGAGUACAGAAGAGGAAAGCGGAAUUCCACGUGUAGCGGUGAAAUGCGUAGAGAUGUGGAGGAACACCAGUGGCGAAGGCGGCUUUCUGGUCUGUAACUGACGCUGAGGCGCGAAAGCGUGGGGAGCAAACAGGAUUAGAUACCCUGGUAGUCCACGCCGUAACGAUGAGUGCUAAGUGUUAGGGGGGUUUUCCGCCCCCCUUAGUGCUGCAGCUAACGCAUUAAGCACUCCGCCUGGGAGUACGGCCGCAAGGCUG